GUGGAACUUGCUGAAUCAUCCACAUAUGACCUCAUUCAACAAUUAGGGUUUAGAUUAUCUCUCUCUAUCGAAAACUCAGCACAAACCACCGUUUUCGUUCUCCUUUACCACGUACCGAUCAUUUUUUAUCCUCUCCUCUCUAAAAUCUCACCCUCUCAUCUACAAGCUUACUGCCUCUAACAUAAAGGUAGCUGAGCUGAGACAGAGUAGGGAAGCUUUUGAAAUGGCGGCUUUUGGCCAAC
rnacentral:misc_RNA from 1 species